AGGGAAUAUUGCGCAAUGGGGGAAACCCUGAUCUAGCCAUGCCGCGUGAUCGAUGAAGGCCUUAGGGUUGUAAAGAUCUUUCAGUUGGGAAGAUAAUGACGGUACCAACAGAAGAAGCCCCGGCUAACUCCGUGCCAGCAGCCGCGGUAAUACGGAGGGGGCUAGCGUUAUUCGGAAUUACUGGGCGUAAAGCGCACGUAGGCGGACUGGAAAGUUGGAGGUGAAAUCCCAGGGCUCAACCUUGGAACUGCCUUCAAAACUUCCAGUCUUGAGUUCGAGAGAGGUGAGUGGAAUUCCGAGUGUAGAGGUGAAAUUCGUAGAUAUUCGGAGGAACACCAGUGGCGAAGGCGGCUCACUGGCUCGAUACUGACGCUGAGGUGCGAAAGCGUGGGGAGCAAACA
rnacentral:rRNA from 1 species